rnacentral:rRNA from 1 species
GGUAAGUAAAAGUCGUAACAAGGUCUCCGUUGGUGAACCAGCGGAGGGAUCAUUACCGAGUUUACAACUCCCAAACCCAAUGUGAACGUUACCAAACUGUUGCCUCGGCGGGGUCACGCCCCGGGUGCGUCGCAGCCCCGGAACCAGGCGCCCGCCGGAGGAACCAACCAAACUCUUUCUGUAGUCCCCUCGCGGACGUAUUUCUUUACAGCUCUGAGCAAAAAUUCAAAAUGAAUCAAAACUUUCAACAACGGAUCUCUUGGUUCUGGCAUCGAUGAAGAACGCAGCGAAAUGCGAUAAGUAAUGUGAAUUGCAGAAUUCAGUGAAUCAUCGAAUCUUUGAACGCACAUUGCGCCCGCCAGUAUUCUGGCGGGCAUGCCUGUCCGAGCGUCAUUUCAACCCUCGAACCCCUCCGGGGGAUCGGCGUUGGGGAUCGGGACCCCUCACACGGGUGCCGGCCCCUAAAUACAGUGGCGGUCUCGCCGCAGCCUCUCCUGCGCAGUAGUUUGCACAACUCGCACCGGGAGCGCGGCGCGUCCACGUCCGUAAAACACCCAACUUUCUGAAAUGUUGACCUCGGAUCAGGUAGGAAUACCCGCUGAACUUAAGCAUAUCAAAAGCCGGA